rnacentral:lncRNA from 1 species
GGCUCCCGCGCGCGCUGCUCGCCUCCCGGCGCGAUCUUAAGCUCGUUUCUGCACUGUUUUACUGAAAAACCCAUUAAAAGAGUCAGUGAAUCUUGUAGAAAAUGGCGUUCAGCGAUCUUACAUCGAGGACUGUGCGUUUUUAUGAUAAUUGGAUCAAAGAUGCUGAUCCAAGAGUUGAAAACUGGCUCCUCAUGUCCUCGCCUCUGCCACAAACCAUCAUCCUGGGGCUCUACGUCUAUUUUGUUACAUCUCUGGGACCAAAGCUCAUGGAGAACCGGAAGCCCUUUGAACUCAAGAAAGCGAUGAUAAC